GUGACUAAUGUUCAUUUUCCAGUUGACCAUUUUUUUAUCACGACUGAUAUUUUAUUUUGAUUCCUGUUCAAUAUUAGGGGAGCUAUGGAAAACAAGAGUUUGAAUAUCUUCAAUUCCAAAGUUGUCUUGGCAUCUCCACAAACUGCUUUCAGAUGGAGAUUAUGCUGCCAUUUUGGGAGUCAUUGGCCAUGAGCAUGUUGCCAUGUACAUAUAGGGGUGGGAGCAGCACUAAAAAAAGAGAGGGGGAGCACGGUAGCCCAUCAUCAACACAAACUCAGGAGCAAUUCAACAUCUCAAAGGACGAUUCACGUUGCCAGAGGAGACCCAACAGUUGGGAAUAUAGUUGCAGGGGCUGUUUGAAUUGUGUUCAUUUUGGUAACAAAUUGUACAGAACACUCUUUAGUUGGGAGCUAGUGAAAGUACAAUUGGAAACACUUGUGUUCAUCUUGGAAUGUCUUGA